rnacentral:tRNA from 1 species
GGGUCCUUAGCUUAGUGGUAGAGCAUUUGACUGCAGAUCAAGAGGUCACCAGUUCGACCCUGGUAGGGCCCU